rnacentral:lncRNA from 1 species
GAUUUGGAUCUUGAUCUCGAAUCUUCCUGGUCGAUGGACCAGAUCUUUGCAAAUCCUAUGUCGCCGUUUCUGCUUUCGAAUUCGGAUCAGCCGUGUUCGCCUAUAUGGGCUUAUACAGAUGAGAAUAACGAUUGUAAAUCGACUGGAAAUUACGUCGCCGGGGGAGGUUUCCGCCUCUCCAACUGCUCCAGGCCUAUGUCAUGUAUGACUCUGCUUGCUCUGAGCUUGUUAUUUGACUUUUUUUUUAGGCGUGUGUUGAAUUGUUAGUGAUUAAAUCAAAAACCUGUUUUGUACUCUAUGCACUUUAUUUUGGGUUUUUUUGAUUAAAAAAGUUGGAAAGUUUUGAGAUUCUAUAGUUUCUACCACUGAGAUUUUUUUGGGUGAUUUUGACUUUCUUCUUCUUUUAUGAACAUGUAAACUAGCCCUUAUUUUUGGUUGAGUUUAGCUUUAUAUAUACAUAUGAAAACGUUCGUUAUUGGAAGGAGCUUUAUAUGGAUGUCCAGAUACAGUAUAGAAAUGACGAAGAAGAAUUCAUAUCAAAGCAGCUGAUAUAACUUUACUUAAGAGUUAUGCUUUUAAAUAAGUGUCAACUCAAAUCCUAACUUUUGGGAUAUAGAAAGGAUGGAAAAUCAAGGUAGAUGUAAUGAUUAUAUUUGUCGUCUGCUAUUUUUAAAUGCCAAACUAUCUAAAAUUUGAAAAGUUAGUUUGUUUUCUGUUGUUCUAUGAUUUUCUUGAAGUACUACUUGCAAUCAAUGGUACAUUUUACCAGAAGUAUCAGCAGGAAACUCAUUUUAUUUGCUUUUGUUUCGUGAAUUUUGAGCAGAUGCGGUUGAUCCUGAGUCAAUGACUGAAAAUGCAGUGGAAAAUGAUGAUAAAGAAAAACUGCCUUCACAACUUCUGGGAUUGAGAUCAAUUGCUAAUCCAGAUGAGUCUUAUAUAAUCAAGGAGCGGAUGUCACAGGCUCUUCGAUACUUUAAAGAUUUGACUGGAGAGCAUGUCUUGGCUCAAGUUUGGGCACCAGUUAAGAAUGGUGGUCGGUAUGUGCUGACUACUUCGGGGCAGCCCUUUGUUCUUGACCCUAACAGUAAUGGACUUCAUCAGUAUAGGCUAGUCUCUCUGAUGUAUAUGUUUUCUGUGGAUGGAGUGACUGAGGGAGCCCUUGGACUUCCUGGUCGUGUAUUUCGGCAAAAGUUACCUGAAUGGACACCUAACGUGCAGUACUAUUCUAGCAAGGAAUUUCCACGGCUGGACCAUGCUCUGAAUUAUAACGUUCGCGGAACUUUGGCUUUGCCUGUAUUUGAACCUUCUGGACAGUCCUGUGUUGGUGUACUUGAGCUCAUAAUGACUUCCCAGAAAAUUAAUUAUGCUCCUGAGGUUGAUAAAGUAUGCAAAGCACUUGAGGUUGGUUAAGCAUUCUCUUCAUAAUACAUCAUUAUUUCAAGAUCUUGCAUUUUUUGGUAGGAACUGUUAAAGAUUCCUUGAUAAAAAUUGCAGCAAGGAUUAGUGACUGUCUGAUUGUAGCAAUCAUAAUAACUGCGUUCUUUUAUGUGUGAGAAGCUUCUAAAAUUUUUAUCCCUAGGAAUUAUUUCCAGAAUUGGAUAUAGGAGAAUGGCACUUCUUUCUGAAAUAUGGCCUCUAGCAGCAUGACAUUGAUAGACACUUUAAUGUCAUUUUCUACUACUAAGAUUUUAAGAACCUAUACCUUUAAAAUUUCACUGGAUGAUGGAUUUGCUUUUCACAUACGAAAUGGAAGCUUUAUUGUGAGAUUGGAUUUAUUUACUUCAUAUAUGUUAUAGAUACCAAAGUGCUAAACAUGACGAUGUGCUUAAAAAGAUUUAUUACACUGGAGUAAGAUAAGCAUUUCGUGUCAAUAAAAUGGUAAAUCUUAUUUGUCUCGUGCAACACGUUCUAUUCAUUAUUUUUUGAUGAUAUCAAUUUGUUUGUGUUCUAACUUCUACCCAUUAGGAUUCUUCAGUUACAUAAAUUCAGUUGUUCUGCAGGCUGUGAAUUUGAAAAGUUCAGAGAUUUUGGAUCAUCCCAGCACACAGGUAAGCAGCAAAUUUUAAGUGAAGAUCAUAUCUAUAAUGAAGUAAUUGAGCCUGUGUUUGACAACCAGUAAAAUGAAAUUUUUGGGGAAAAUGAGUUUUGGAAUAAUGAUUUUUUUGGAGAAUAUGUGGUUAAAAAAUAGCAAAAAAGUUUGGAUUUACGUGUAAAAUAUUUUAUUUUGAAAAUGUGUAGUCGAAAAUGAGUUUGAGAACAAAAGAGUUUUGUUAUACUGAUUGUCAAACAGGGCCAUAAUUUUCUGAUCAAAUAAUCUAUUUGGCUAUCGUGUACACACCAGAUAUGCAACCAAGGUCGCCAAAAUGCGCUGGCUGAGAUCUUGGAGAUACUAACAAUGGUAUGUGAGACUCACACAUUACCGCUGGCUCAGACAUGGAUUCCUUGCAGACAUCGGAAUGUCCUAGCAGAUGGCGGAGGUUUUAAGAAAACUUGCAGUAGCUUUGAUGGAAGUUGCAUGGGACAGGUAUGCAUGUCAACAACUGAUGUAUCAUAUUAUGUGGUAGAUGCGCAUAUGUGGGGCUUCCGCGAGGCCUGUGCCGAGCAUCACUUACAGAAGGGCCAGGGAGUUGCCGGGAGGGCAUUUGAGUCGCAUAACUUGUGCUUCUGUGACGAUAUCACCCAAUUCUGCAAAACAGAGUAUCCCUUGGUACAUUAUGCUCGCAUGUUUGGGUUGAAAAGUAGCAUCGCAAUUUGUUUACGGAGCCGUCAUACUGGAAAUGACGAUUACGUUUUAGAAUUCUUUCUUCCUCCAAAUAUCCAAGACCAGAGUGACCAAAGGACUUUGUUGGAUGCAGUGUUGAUGACAAUGAAACAGCAUUUUGGGAGCCUGAGGGUUGCUUCAGGGAAUGACCUCGAACAUGAAUGGAGAUCUGUUGAGAUUAUAAAAGCAUCCAUGGAUGAGAAAUUUGAUUCAAGGUUUGAUUUUGCUGCAAAUUCUCCCCUAAAGUCUGCUGCCUUGCCAAAUGAAGAGGCAGUGCAUCUUCAUUCACUGGAAAAGCAGCAAUUGGAAGGAUUUAAUGCUACUAAUAAUGAAGAAAAUGCUGUAUCUUUUGUUGAGAAUAAAGAACAGGUCAAGAAAUCAGAGAGAAAACGAGGAAAGGCAGAGAAGACGAUCAGCCUAGAGGUUCUGCAGCAAUACUUCGCCGGGAGUCUUAAGGAUGCUGCCAAGAGUCUUGGUGGUAUGCUUUAAUCUUAGUGCCCGUUGCUUAUCAUUUUAUUCACUUCAAAUGAUUCUCUUGAAUAAUUAUAAUUAUAAUUUAUUUUUAUUUUAUUAUUAUUAUUAUUAUUUUUUUUUUUGUGACUUAUACAGUUUGUCCUACUACCAUGAAGCGCAUCUGCAGGCAACAUGGGAUCUUAAGAUGGCCCUCUCGUAAGAUUAACAAAGUUAAUCAUUCUCUUUCUAAGCUAAAACGCGUAAUUGAAUCUGUACAAGGUGCUGAAGGAGCAUUCAGUUUGACUUCUUUGGCUACAAAUUCGAUUCCUGUUGCUGUUGGUUCAAUUUCAUGGUCAGCAAGUAUGAACGAGCCGCCUGAUCAACAAAGUUCACCAAGGCCUAGACCAUCUGAAUUUCGAGAGGAUGAGCAUGAACUUCCUACCCUUCAGGCAUCUGGAGGCGAUGAACUGACAGAGAUUUUAGGAACUGAGGAACUUAUCCCGCAGCAAACUGGAACUUUGCUCUGUGAAGGUUCUAUCAGAUCAAAAACAGGGAGUAGGUCGAGAGAAGAAAGCACAGGAACCCCAACUUCUUAUGGUUCAUGCCAAGAUAGUCCUUUUCUUGGAAAUGAAAACUCCCUACAAAAUGAUCCAGCCGUUUCACUUGUCAAUGAAAAUCACAUAAAACUCACGAGUUCACUUGAGUUUACAUGUCAACCAAUGAAGGAGAUUAAUUUAUCCGUUGCAUUGUCGUUACCCAAACCCGAUGAUUUUGUUACAGCACCCCGAGAGCCAUUUGGAGAAAUGCUAAUUGAGGAUGCAGGAAGCUCACGCAAUCUUUGUAAUCUUUGCCCAGAUCGUGAGACUUUGUUUGAUGAACACGUCCCAGAAUACAGUGGGACGAAACAACCAUGUUUUGAUGCAAUUCCCAGUUCCACGGUUGUUCCUAUUGAUCGAAUGCCACAGGUUUCUACCGGGACAGAACUGAAAACCAUCACGAUAAAAGCCACUUACCAAGAAGAUAUUAUUAGGUUUCGACUCUCUUUGGGCUCGGGCAUUGUCACGUUGAAGGAGGAAGUGGCAAAGAGGCUGAAGAUGGAGGUUGGCACGUUUGAUAUCAAGUACUUAGACGACGAUCAUGAGUGGGUUCUAAUUGCUUGUGACGCAGACUUGCAGGAAUGCAUUGAUGUUUCGAGGUCGUCAGGUAGAAAUAUAAUCAGACUGUUGAUUCAUGAUAUAAUGGGCAAUCUUGGGAGCUCCUGCGAGAGUUCGGGUGAAUGAGGAAUAGGGUUGUACAUAGUAAGCUCGUAGGAAAAUUCUUGCAGUCUCUGGUGAGUUCAAGUGUAAUUGUAAAUUUUGAUUAUGACCCUUCUUAAAUUUUAAGAAUUUAGUUGAUUUUUGAGCAUUUAGAGGAACAGAUUACAUGUGAUACUGUAG